rnacentral:rRNA from 1 species
AUGGCCGCCAGCGUGCGGGAAGGUGCGGCGGCGGCGGCGGCCGCGGGGCACGCGGUGGACGAUUACGACGUCUCGGACGGCGAGAUGGACGUCGACGUCGACGUCGAGGCCGGCAGCGAGCUCCAGCACGCCGGCGGAGCCGGCGACGACGGCCGGAGGGACGGCGACGGCGACGACGAGUACGCGCUGCUCACCAGGAUAACUGACACAUCAGCAGCUGAAGCAAGGGCAGGAAAGGAUAUACAAGGUAUACCAUGGGAGAGGUUACAAAUCACCAGGCAGGAUUACAGAAAAGCUAGGUUGGAACAGUACAAGAACUAUGAGAACUUCCCUCAGUCCGGAGAGCUCAUGGAUAAGUUGUGCAAGCAAGUGGAGAGCAGCAGCAAGUACUAUGAAUUUCAAUACAACACUCGGAUAGUGAAACCCUCAAUUCUCCAUUUUCAGCUUCGGAAUUUGUUAUGGGCAACUUCAAAGCAUGAUGUUUAUUUCAUGUCGAAUUCCACAGUAGGCCACUGGUCGUCAUUGUCUCACAAAAUGACAGAUGUUCUUGAUUUCUCGGGGCAUGUUGCUCCAGCAAAGAAACACCCUGGCUGUGCACUAGAAGGGUUUACUGGCGUUCAAGUUAGCACACUUGCAGUAAAUGAGGGUUUAUUGGUCGCUGGUGGUUUUCAAGGAGAACUAGUUUGCAAGAGUCUAGGAGAACGUGAUGUUAAGUUCUGCACAAGGACUACUUUGAGCGACAAUGCUAUCACAAAUGCUAUGGAUAUACACAGAUCUACAAGUGGAAGCUUGCGCAUUACGGUAUCGAAUAAUGAUUCUGGUGUUCGUGAAUUUGACAUGGAAAGAUUUCAGCUCUUGAAUCACUUCCGUUUUAACUGGCCAGUGAAUCACACAUCUGUGAGCCCGGACAAGAAACUUUUGGCAGUAGUUGGAGAUGACCGGGAUGCUCUUCUUGUUGAUUCACGAAAUGGCAAGGUAACUUCUACCCUAGUUGGCCAUCUGGACUACUCGUUUGCCUCGGCGUGGCACCCAGAUGGUAUCACCUUCGCAACCGGAAACCAGGACAAGACCUGCCGGGUGUGGGACAUCCGGAACCCGUCGACCUCCCUUGCAGUCCUGAGGGGCAACAUCGGCGCAAUCCGGUGCAUCCGCUACUCCUCGGACGGGCGGUUCCUGCUCUUCUCGGAGCCCGCCGACUUUGUGCAUGUCUACAGCGCCGCCGAGUGCUACCGGAAGCGGCAGGAGAUCGACUUCUUCGGCGAGAUCUCAGGGAUCUCGCUCAGCCCGGACGACGAGUCCCUGUUCGUGGGGGUGUGCGACCGCGUCUACGCCAGCCUGCUGAAUUACAGGAUGGUACACGCCAACGGGUACCUGGACUCGUACAUGUAG